GGGCUUGUAGAUCAACGGUAGAUCGCUCGCUCGGCAUGCGAGAGGCUGGGGGUUCGAAUCCCCCCAGGUCCA
rnacentral:tRNA from 1 species